CGGCAGAGUUGGAACGCACAACCAGGUGCUUCCAGUAGCCCUGGAAGUUGGUCUCAUAGCAGCCGGGCAGUGGGGAACGCUGAAUGUACUCCUGAAAUGACUGCACGCUCAGCGUACAAUAGUGGUGCUACACAGCCAGUUGGGAAAUUAUCCAGACCAAAAACAAUGUCGUUUGGGGUGCCGAGAAUGCCCGUGAAGCAUCCAACGAGGACGACUUCUCCGACAGUUCUGACAAGAUGCAGUCGACUAGCAAGAUCUAGUGGCCCAGUGUACAGUAAAUAAAGGUCAACCGAGCACGGAAUGUGCACAGCUUCACCACACACUUUGCCCUUGGCAUAAUUCUGCACUGCACUUCACGAAUCACACAACACCGUUUGGCACCACGUAAGCUCGCCACUGCCCUCAUCGCGCCGGACAACACCUCGAUGACGGUAGCUAUAACGCUGCGCUGUCCCUGCCUAGUGAGUUUGUGUGGAAGUCCUAAGGCUAUGUUUACUCUGAGCCCACACAAAACUCAAUAAACACCUAUUUCUUGAGAUUCAA